rnacentral:rRNA from 1 species
AAUACGUUCCCGGGCCUUGUACACACCGCCCGUCAAGCCAUGGAAAUUGGGAGCGCCUAAAGUCGGCCACCGUAAGGAGCUGCCUAAGGCGAAACCAGUAACUGGGGCU